rnacentral:rRNA from 1 species
UACAGAGGGUGCGAGCGUUUAAUCGGAAUUACUGGGCGUAAAGCGCGUGUAGGCGGUCCGGUAAGUCGGUUGUGAAAGUCCAGGGCUACCACCGUGGAUGCCGAUCGAUACUGCCGGACUAGAGUCCGGAAGAGGCGAGUGGAAUUCCCGGUGUAGCGGUGAAAUGCGUAGAUAUCGGAAGGAACAUCAGUGGCGAAAGCGACUUCCUGGACCAAUACUGACGCUCAUGUGCGAAAGCGUGGGGAGCAAACAGG